AACUGAAUACAGCAAGCAGGUGCCUCGUCUGUCAUGGACGAGGUGAAAAGGGAAGCCGGUGCAAAUCCGGCGCGGUCCCGCCACUGUAAAGCGGCUGUCGCAAGCCGCAAGCCAGGAGACCUGCCUGUUUGCAUGAUGUGCC
rnacentral:ncRNA from 1 species